rnacentral:rRNA from 1 species
AGUGGCGGACGGGUGAGUAACGCGUGAGAAUCUGCCUUGGGGUCGGGGACAACCACUGGAAACGGUGGCUAAUACCGGAUAAGCCGAUUGGUGAAAGAUUUAUUGCCCGAAGAGGAGCUCGCGUCUGAUUAGCUAGUUGGUGAGGUAAGAGCUCACCAAGGCAGCGAUCAGUAGCUGAUCUGAGAGGACGAUCAGCCACACUGGGACUGAGACACGGCCCAGACUCCUACGGGAGGCAGCAGUGGGGAAUUUUCCGCAAUGGGCGAAAGCCUGACGGAGCAAGACCGCGUGAGGGAGGAAGGCUCUUGGGUUGUAAACCUCUUUUCUCAGGGAAGAAGAUCUGACGGUACCUGAGGAAUCAGCCUCGGCUAACUCCGUGCCAGCAGCCGCGGUAAUACGGAGGAGGCAAGCGUUAUCCGGAAUUAUUGGGCGUAAAGCGUCCGCAGGUGGCGAUUCAAGUCUGCUGUCAAAGCACGGGGCUUAACUCCGUAAAGGCAGUGGAAACUGAAUAGCUAGAGUGCCGUAGGGGUAGAGGGAAUUCCCGGUGUAGCGGUGAAAUGCGUAGAAAUCGGGAAGAACAUCGGUGGCGAAAGCGCUCUACUGGACGGCAACUGACACUCAGGGACGAAAGCUAGGGGAGCGAAUGGGAUUAGAUACCCC